rnacentral:pre_miRNA from 1 species
ACAGUACUCUCUCCGUCCGGAAAUACUUGUCGUAGAAAUGGAUACAAAUGGAUGUAUAUAAAACUAAAAUACAUCUAGAUACAUCCAUUCCUCGGACAAGUAUUUCCGGACGGAGGGAGUAGUAU